GUGGUGGGCACUGCCACAGCUACCUUCCUGCCUGCGGCUCAGUGCAACGUGUAAGUACGAGAGGUGUUCCUAUGGAUUUCUUUGUGCGUGUGGAUUUUGAAAUAAUUGGUUCCAGCCAGUAACAAGUCCUCACCUCAAUUUCAUUGGCUCGUAUCUCGGGCAACACAAGAGACAUGCUGUAAUGGCUCAAAAUAUCCCUGCUGGAUAAUCAUGCAGUGGUAUGGAAGAUGGACUCUGGAGGAGGACAGAGCGUGGAGAUGCCCGGAUGGGGACCCCCUCAGGUGCUGUGCAGCAGCUGGUGUUGUGAAUCAGGCCGUCGCCAGUCGGAGAACGGCUACUUCACAACACCAGGGUCGCACCACACCACAGCUCAACCACCUGCCGAAGAAGAGCAGAGGUUCUGGUGGGCAGGCAGGGGACGAGGAGCACCUCCUGGCUGCCUCUGCCCAUCCCCAGACCUGCAAAGGUAAUCAGGUGCUCAACUCCUAUUUAGGCACUGGCCUCCCACUGAAGUCUGAAAUAGAAGUUAGGCCCCUAAAUAUCUCUGUGGGUCUGGCCCCAACACCCGGCCUUGCUGUGCAGUGCAGAGCAGUGCUUCAGCAGGCACAGGGCAGUGCUGUCAGCCACGCGGUCACUGCCUGUUUGCAUGCUGUGUGAAUGUUAAGGAAGAGAUGACUUUUAUUAAGCUGUGGAAAAAAGUUAAAAAAAAAAAAAAAAAAGCUUCCGCAUGUUCCAUGUGUAGUUCUCCCUGACAGUCGUGCUUGUGGUCCUUGCCUGCAACUAGUCCUGAUCCCUUCCCUGUCUAGACACCCAAUCCCACAUUUUCUGUAAGAGUUGCUAUAUAUACCAGGAAAGAAGCCAGACUCCUUGGAAGUGAUACUAAACAGCCCUAGGUGUGUUGUAAUGAAUGAAAAAGCACCAGAAAUAAACAGUGAUGUUGCCCAGAAGCAGUACCAGCUGCUGUCCUUAAAACAGAGAAAAUACUUGAUUUUGCAUUCCUUCAUAAAUAAUUAGCUGUAGGGGGACAGCAAAGCACACUCCAACCCACCUUAUCUAGAGUGGUCCUGUAACAAGUGCCAUGCAUUCCAGAUCUGAAAUGCAGACUCUUCCCUGCCUCCUCCCUUGCACUGCAGUGCUGGUGUGAUGUUAGUUUGAGGGGAGCAGGUUACAACAGGGCACUUUCCAACCCAAACUGGCUUGUGUUCAUCAGCACAAAGCUGAUAGCCCUAUACAAUCCAUAAAGUCAAACUGAAAUGUUGUUCAGUUUUGAUCUCUGAAAGCAGCCAUCGGCUCUUGGAUUCAGGGUGGGGGAUUUUUUGGUAGGUUUUUCCAGCUGUAGUGGGUUUUCCUUUCCACUCGCCAAGAUAGACUGGGUUAUAUGCUCUUAGGUAUUGGCUGGCUGUUCUCUUGUAUGACAUAAAACACUAGAUAUGUCUAAAGCAAAGUGGAGAAAUGCAGAGAGUAAACCAUUAAGGUAACAUAGAACUGAUUAAGGAUUUUUUUUUUAAGUUUUCUUUGUUAUCCUAACUCAUCUGAAUUUAGCCGACAGUAAAAAUUACUCAAGUCCCAUCCUGAAUAUAUGGUUGCUGGUAGGGAGUUAAGAUGUAGGGGAGAGUCAGGAUAUGCACAAGGUCAGAAAUAGUGUGGGACAGCCUGGAAAUGCACAUCAAAGGAGGCAAAGGUGGCUACAUUAGACACAUCCUAAUCUUUCUGUUCAGGUGGGCUUCCUACAGAAGUAACCAUGAAUUCGCUUCAUAGCAAAAAAUCCACAACUUAGAUCAUGAGCAGCAUAAGAUAUGUAUGGGAUGCUCAUGUGUACAUUAGGAGAGGGCAAUCUGUUGAUGCAGGCUAGCAGUGGCUUUUGUUGUUGUUGAUAAGAGGAAAAGCAAGACUAUGUUUCUGAUUCUGGUACUAUGGCAAAGAGGAUCACGAAUUUGUGAACCUGACAAAAAAUCUGUUUUAUUAAACUUGUACUCUGCUAACACAAA